AUUCCAAAUUCUGGAAUUAUAAGACCCUGGGUGGAAGAUUCUAUGCUUUGACCAGAAGAGAGUCUAAGCAGCUUUUGUCUCCCAGGUGCUAGGAGGAUGUGUGCUCAUCAUUCUUCCAUUCCAGGGGCCUUUGUUCUACGUUCUAAGGGGCUUUGUUCUCAGCCUUCUAUGAUGCUCUAUUCUCAACGUUCUCUGGUCCUAGGAGUCUGAGCCUGACAUUCGUUUCCAAGGCUUCCUGCUGUCUCUCCAGGCUCCGCAAGCAGGGCUGGGGCACCCUCAGGCGGCCAAUCUGUAUCACUACGCCGAGCCUGCCUCUACCAACUUCCAAGACCUAGCUCUAAUAUUCAUACUCAUCUCUCAGACAGACCUUGGCUCCCUAAAAGCCAAGGCCCAGAAGAUCAUACAAGAAAUUCCCUCUUUUAUGAUUCCCCGUGCACGAAGUGACCUUCUGGUGGUGAGAUGGAGAGAAAUUGAUAGUGGCGAUAGACAGCAAAGUCUCCAGGAGCCAGACUUCCUCGGGAAACUUGGGGCACGUGUGGAGUGUGAGUGAGUGAGCUGCUGGAAUGAACUGACCAGACAGGACAUCAUCUAUGUAUGGGAUUAGAAUGGAAUUACAGGAGAAAACCAAAUCCCUCAAAUUAGCAUUCAGGAUCGGAAAAAAAAUAUAUACAAGUGUCUCUAUCAACAUUAGG
rnacentral:lncRNA from 10 species